rnacentral:rRNA from 1 species
UGCAGUAGAACGCUGAAGAGAGGAGCUUGCUCUUCUUGGAUGAGUUGCGAACGGGUGAGUAACGCGUAGGUACCUGCCUUGUAGCGGGGGAUAACUAUUGGAAACGAUAGCUAAUACCGCAUAACAAUGGGUGACCCAUGUCAUUUAUUUGAAAGGGGCAAAUGCUCCACUACAAGAUGGACCUGCGUUGUAUUAGCUAGUAGGUGAGGUAACGGCUCACCUAGGCGACGAUACAUAGCCGACCUGAGAGGGUGAUCGGCCACACUGGGACUGAGACACGGCCCAGACUCCUACGGGAGGCAGCAGUAGGGAAUCUUCGGCAAUGGGGGCAACCCUGACCGAGCAACGCCGCGUGAGUGAAGAAGGUUUUCGGAUCGUAAAGCUCUGUUGUAAGUCAAGAACGAGUGUGAGAGUGGAAAGUUCACACUGUGACGGUAGCUUACCAGAAAGGGACGGCUAACUACGUGCCAGCAGCCGCGGUAAUACGUAGGUCCCGAGCGUUGUCCGGAUUUAUUGGGCGUAAAGCGAGCGCAGGCGGUUUGAUAAGUCUGAAGUUAAAGGCUGUGGCUCAACCAUAGUUCGCUUUGGAAACUGUCAAACUUGAGUGCAGAAGGGGAGAGUGGAAUUCCAUGUGUAGCGGUGAAAUGCGUAGAUAUAUGGAGGAACACCGGUGGCGAAAGCGGCUCUCUGGUCUGUAACUGACGCUGAGGCUCGAAAGCGUGGGGAGCGAACAGGAUUAGAUACCCUGGUAGUCCACGCCGUAAACGAUGAGUGCUAGGUGUUGGAUCCUUUCCGGGAUUCAGUGCCGCAGCUAACGCAUUAAGCACUCCGCCUGGGGAGUACGACCGCAAGGUUGAAACUCAAAGGAAUUGACGGGGGCCCGCACAAGCGGUGGAGCAUGUGGUUUAAUUCGAAGCAACGCGAAGAACCUUACCAGGUCUUGACAUCCCGAUGCUAUUUCUAGAGAUAGAAAGUUACUUCGGUACAUCGGUGACAGGUGGUGCAUGGUUGUCGUCAGCUCGUGUCGUGAGAUGUUGGGUUAAGUCCCG